rnacentral:rRNA from 1 species
GACGAACGCUGGCGGCGUGCCUAAUACAUGCAAGUCGAGCGGAUUGAAGGGAGCUUGCUCCCUGAUAUUAGCGGCGGACGGGUGAGUAACACGUGGGCAACCUGCCCUGCAGAUGGGGAUAACUCCGGGAAACCGGGGCUAAUACCGAAUAAUCGGUUCUUCCGCAUGGAAGAACUCUGAAAGACGGUUUCGGCUGUCACUGCAGGAUGGGCCCGCGGCGCAUUAGCUAGUUGGUGGGGUAACGGCCUACCAAGGCGACGAUGCGUAGCCGACCUGGGAGGGUGAUCGGCCACACUGGGACUGAGACACGGCCCAGACUCCUACGGGAGGAAGCAGUAGGGAAUCUUCCACAAUGGACGAAAGUCUGAUGGAGCAACGCCGCGUGAGCGAAGAAGGUUUUCGGAUCGUAAAGCUCUGUUGCGAGGGAAGAACAAGUACGAGAGUAACUGCUCGUACCUUGACGGUACCUCGUUAGAAAGCCACGGCUAACUACGUGCCAGCAGCCGCCGUAA